rnacentral:rRNA from 1 species
AAUAGAUACCCUGGUAGUCCACGCCGUAAACGAUGAGUGCUAAGUGUUAGGGGGUUUCCGCCCCUUAGUGCUGCAGCUAACGCAUUAAGCACUCCGCCUGGGGAGUACGGUCGCAAGACUGAAACUCAAAGGAAUUGACGGGGGCCCGCACAAGCGGUGGAGCAUGUGGUUUAAUUCGAGGCAACGCGAAGAACCUUACCAGGUCUUGACAUCCCAUUGACCGCUAUGGAGACAUAGCUUUCCCUUCGGGGACAGUGGUGACAGGUGGUGCAUGGUUGUAGUCAGCUCGUGUCGUGAGAUGUUGGGUUAAGUCCCGCAAUGAGCGCAACCCUUGUUCUUAGUUGCCAUCAUUUAGUUGGGCACUCUAAGGAGACUGCCGGUGACAAACCGGAGGAAGGUGGGGAUGACGUCAAAUCAUCAUGCCCCUUAUGACCUGGGCUACACACGUGCUACAAUGGACGGUACAAACGGUUGCCAACCCGCGAGGGGAGCUAAUCCGAUAAAACCGUUCUCAGUUCGGAUUGUAGGCUGCAACUCGCCUA